UUUAUAUGAUGAAAUUCCACUUUAUGGUCCAUGUUUCUGAAACACAUGAUUUUGUGGAACUUCUGAUUCU